UCACACAGGAGUACGCCAUGAACGUUCGCAAGCUGUUGACCCUGGCCGCGCUGGUCGCCGCCGCGGUGGCCAUCCCGGUGGCGAUGGCCCAGGCGCAGAGCGCCGAUCCGGCUGCCUCCGGCGCCGCCGCCUACGAGGCGCAGGUCGCGAAGGAGAAGGCCGAGGCCGAGGCCAAGGCCAAGCGCCGCACCGCUGCGGCGGCCGAGCACAAGGCCGGCAAGGACGCGGCUGCGCCGAAGAAAGAGGAAGAAGAGGAAGCGCGCAAGCCCUGAGCGCGCGCCCUGUUGCGACCUGCGACGCCCCGGCUGCUGCUGGGGCGUUGUUGUUUUGUGCGGUCGA
rfam:Xanthomonas translucens pv. undulosa strain Xtu 4699, complete genome.